rnacentral:rRNA from 1 species
UCCUGGCUCAGGACGAACGCUGGCGGCGUGCCUAAUACAUGCAAGUCGAACGCUUCUUUUCCCACCGGAGCUUGCUCCACCGGGAAAAGAGGAGUGGCGAACGGGUGAGUAACACGUGGGUAACCUGCCCAUCAGAAGGGGAUAACACUUGGAAACAGGUGCUAAUACCGUAUAACAAUCGAAACCGCAUGGUUUCGUUUUGAAAGGCGCUUUACGGUGCCGCUGAUGGAUGGACCCGCGGUGCAUUAGCUAGUUGGUGAGGUAACGGCUCACCAAGGCCACGAUGCAUAGCCGACCUGAGAGGGUGAUCGGCCACAUUGGGACUGAGACACGGCCCAAACUCCUACGGGAGGCAGCAGUAGGGAAUCUUCGGCAAUGGACGAAAGUCUGACCGAGCAACGCCGCGUGAGUGAAGAAGGUUUUCGGAUCGUAAAACUCUGUUGUUAGAGAAGAACAAGGGUGAGAGUAACUGUUCACCCCUUGACGGUAUCUAACCAGAAAGCCACGGCUAACUACGUGCCAGCAGCCGCGGUAAUACGUAGGUGGCAAGCGUUGUCCGGAUUUAUUGGGCGUAAAGCGAGCGCAGGCGGUUUCUUAAGUCUGAUGUGAAAGCCCCCGGCUCAACCGGGGAGGGUCAUUGGAAACUGGGAGACUUGAGUGCAGAAGAGGAGAGUGGAAUUCCAUGUGUAGCGGUGAAAUGCGUAGAUAUAUGGAGGAACACCAGUGGCGAAGGCGGCUCUCUGGUCUGUAACUGACGCUGAGGCUCGAAAGCGUGGGGAGCAAACAGGAUUAGAUACCC